rnacentral:rRNA from 2 species
UGGAAGUAAAAAGUCGUAACAAGGUUUCCGUAGGUGAACCUGCGGAAGGAUCAUUACCGAGUGAGGGUCCCUCGGGGCCCAACCUCCCAUCCGUGUUGUCCUGACACCUGUUGCUUCGGCGGGCCCGCCGUGGUUCACGCCCCGGCCGCCGGGGGGUUCACGCCCCCGGGCCCGCGCCCGCCGAAGACCCCUGGAACGCUGCCUGGAAGGUUGCCGUCUGAGUAUACAAUCAAUCAAUUAAAACUUUCAACAACGGAUCUCUUGGUUCCGGCAUCGAUGAAGAACGCAGCGAAAUGCGAUAAGUAAUGUGAAUUGCAGAAUUCCGUGAAUCAUCGAAUCUUUGAACGCACAUUGCGCCCCCUGGCAUUCCGGGGGGCAUGCCUGUCCGAGCGUCAUUGCUAACCCUCCAGCCCGGCUGGUGUGUUGGGCCGCCGUCCCCCCUCCCCGGGGGACGGGCCCGAAAGGCAGCGGCGGCGUCGCGUCCGGUCCUCGAGCGUAUGGGGCUCUGUCACACGCUUCAGUAGAACCGGCCGGCUUGCUGGCCAUCACCUAUAUUUUUCUCUUAGGUUGACCUCGGAUCAGGUAGGGAUACCCGCUGAACUUAAGCAUAUCAAUAAGGCGGAGGAA